rnacentral:rRNA from 1 species
AGCGAACGCUGGCGGCAGGCUUAACACAUGCAAGUCGAACGGGCGUAGCAAUACGUCAGUGGCAGACGGGUGAGUAACGCGUGGGAACGUACCUUUUGGUUCGGAACAACCCAGGGAAACUUGGGCUAAUACCGGAUAAGCCCUUACGGGGAAAGAUUUAUCGCCGAAAGAUCGGCCCGCGUCUGAUUAGCUAGUUGGUGAGGUAACAGCUCACCAAGGCGACGAUCAGUAGCUGGUCUGAGAGGAUGAUCAGCCACAUUGGGACUGAGACACGGCCAAAACUCCUACGGGAGGCAGCAGUGGGGAAUAUUGGACAAUGGGCGGCAAGCCUGAUCCAGCCAUGCCGCGUGAGUGAUGAAGGCCCUAGGGUUGUAAAGCUCUUUUGUGCGGGAAGAUAAU